AUACGAAGGGGGCAAGCGUUGUUCGGAAUAACGGGGCGUAAAGCGCACGUAGGCGGAAUGUUAAGUUAGAGGUGAAAUCCCAGGGCUCAACCCUGGAACUGCCUUUAAUACUGGCAAUCUAGAGACCGAGAGAGGUGAGUGGAAUUCCGAGUGUAGAGGUGAAAUUCGUAGAUAUUCGGAGGAACACCAGUGGCGAAGGCGGCUCACUGGCUCGGUACUGACGCUGAGGUGCGAAAGCGUGGGGAGCAAACAGGAUUAGAAACCCUAGUAGUCC
rnacentral:rRNA from 1 species